rnacentral:rRNA from 1 species
GAUCUGGCUCAGGAUGAACGCUAGCUACAGGCUUAACACAUGCAAGUCGAGGGGCAGCGGGAUUGAAGCUUGCUUCAAUUGCCGGCGACCGGCGCACGGGUGAGUAACGCGUAUCCAACCUUCCGCAUACUCGGGGAUAGCCUUCUGAAAAGGAGAUUAAUACCCGAUGGUAUCAAGAGAUUGCAUGAUAACUUGAUUAAAGAAUUUCGGUAUGCGAUGGGGAUGCGUUCCA